AUGCAGUCGACGAUGAAGCCCUUCGGGGUGGAUUAGUGGCGAACGGGUGAGUAACACGUGGGCAAUCUGCCCUUCACUCUGGGACAAGCCCUGGAAACGGGGUCUAAUACCGGAUAUCACUCCUGCAGGCAUCUGCGGGGGUCGAAAGCUCCGGCGGUGAAGGAUGAGCCCGCGGCCUAUCAGCUUGUUGGUGAGGUAAUGGCUCACCAAGGCGACGACGGGUAGCCGGCCUGAGAGGGCGACCGGCCACACUGGGACUGAGACACGGCCCAGACUCCUACGGGAGGCAGCAGUGGGGAAUAUUGCACAAUGGGCGAAAGCCUGAUGCAGCGACGCCGCGUGAGGGAUGACGGCCUUCGGGUUGUAAACCUCUUUCAGCAGGGAAGAAGCGAGAGUGACGGUACCUGCAGAAGAAGCGCCGGCUAACUACGUGCCAGCAGCCGCGGUAAUACGUAGGGCGCAAGCGUUGUCCGGAAUUAUUGGGCGUAAAGAGCUCGUAGGCGGCUUGUCACGUCGGGUGUGAAAGCCCGGGGCUUAACCCCGGGUCUGCAUUCGAUACGGGCUAGCUAGAGUGUGGUAGGGGAGAUCGGAAUUCCUGGUGUAGCGGUGAAAUGCGCAGAUAUCAGGAGGAACACCGGUGGCGAAAGGCGGAUCUCUGGGCCAUUACUGACGCUGAG
rnacentral:rRNA from 1 species